rnacentral:misc_RNA from 1 species
ACAAAACUCACAUUCACACUCAGGCUCAGGCGCAGAGGCUAAAAGCAAAAUAGCGAUGCAAUCUAUGCCCAUGGACUCUAACCCACGUCCUCGCCCUGAACCACCCCACCACCUCUCCCUUAGCCCCACUCCUUCUGCCUCCAAACUCCCCGUCAAACGCAAAACCCCUCACCUCAACUCCUCCUCAGCCCAACCUAUUUCCAACGCUGCUCUCGAUUUCGACUCCAAACCUCCGCCCUUUAAGUUCCACCGGAUCUGGACCGAACCCGACGAGAUCCGUUUUCUCCAGGGCCUCCUCGAUUCCUCUUCCCAUGGCCUUUCUUUCCCUCGUGACUUGCCCAUUUUUUAUGACAAUUUCUCAAAUACUAUGUCUCAGCCCUACUCCAGAUCCCAGCUCUCCGAGAAGCUCCGCAGAUUGCGCAAGAAGUUUCGGGUCAUCUCUUCUCGUCUUGCCCGCGGCCUUAGUUAUUCUCUCUUGUCCCCCCACGAUUGCGCCCUUUUCAAUCUCUUGAAGAGGCUCUGGAGCCCUGAAUUCUCAUCUAUUUCGCCUUUCGGCCGUAGCGAAGUCAAUUCUUUUAGUAAUUUGGAUGUGGGCACUAAUGCGAAUUUGGUAGGAGUGAAGGUUAGUUUCUCGCCGGUUUUGCCUGUGGUUUUCUCCGAUGAUGAUAAUGACAUGAAUGAUUUAGGGUCGUUGGAUUUGGAUGAUUUUGAUCAUGGGAAUGUCCCGAAUACGAGUGAAAUGAAUUUGGAUUGUGAUAUGAUUGAAGCACGAGAAGAGGAUUCUGGGGUGGCGAAGAGUGUGGUGGCUAAAAGCGUUUUGAAUGUGUUUGAUGAGUGUCUCAAAGAUGUUCAGAUGGUCCUCGCGAGAGAAAGCUUGCGAUGUUCGGAUGAUUUUAAGGAUUUUGAAAGGAGGUGGAGGAAGCAAAGGGUUGCAGAGCUGGAUGUUUUUUCUCGGCGAUUGAGGUUGGUUCUCGAGAACUCUGUUAAUAGGCAAUCUGUAUCAUAACUUGGUUAGUGUAGCAUUCGUAAUUGGCUCAUUGGCAUUGCCUUUUUGG